rnacentral:rRNA from 1 species
AUGAACGUUGGCGGCGUGGAUUAGGCAUGCAAGUCGAGCGGGUAUAGCAAUAUAUCAGCGGCGAAAGGGAGAGUAACGCGUAGCUACGUACCCCGGAGUCCAGAAUAGCCAGCCGAAAGGCUGGGUAAUGCUGGAUGAUGUCUCCGGACUAAAGGUGUGAUUCCGCUUUGGGAGCGGGCUGCGUUGUACUAGCUUGUUGGUGGGGUAAUGGCCUACCAAGGCGAUGAUGCAUACCGGGCGUGAGAGCGUGGCCCGGCUCACUGGGACUGAGACACUGCCCAGACACCUACGGGUGGCUGCAGUCGAGAAUCUUCGGCAAUGAGCGCAAGCUUGACCGAGCGACGCCGCGUGCGGGAUGAAGGCCUUCGGGUUGUAAACCGCGAAAGUAGGGAGGAAAUCGCUGGGGGUACUCCCCCAGUGUUGACCUAUCUUCAGUAAGGACGGGCUAAGUUCGU